rnacentral:lncRNA from 1 species
CGCCCCUCAGGGCCCUCGCCCAAGGGUGAGCGCGCGCUUGCGCCACAGACGCUGCCUGGCCGCGCGCGCAGGCGCAGGCGCAGGCGCAGAGGCCGACACCACGGGGCGGCUGGUAUGUGUCCACCGGCCCCUAGGCGCCUCGAGCCCCGCCCCUGGGAGACGCAGGCUCCUCCCCGCGGAGCGAGAGCCCGCGGAGCUGCUCCGAGACCCGCGGGAGGGCACCUCCGGUCACCCGAGCCGCAAAUCCCCGCCGUCCGAAGGGGGUGUCGCCCCGGGCUGUCGGCCCAGCGUGGCUUAGGCCAGGUACAACCGGCAGCGCCCGCCAAGCCCUGGGCUAGGGACGCCUGCGGGAGUUCACGGGGAGGCGCCGGUGUCUGAGGUCUGAGAAGACAGCGGCCACCGGAAAAGGUGCUAAUGUUUGCAGACCCCGAUCCAUCGACACCCCAAGGAAAUGCUGUGCACAAAAUUCCAAGAGGGCCUUUUCGAAUAGACGCAUGAACGGUGUUUGUGUCUGGAUCGUCCAGCCUCCCGGGAUCGAUUGGGAAUCUAGCUUCUGCUUGCCUUUCCAGCGCGACGCACAGUAGGAGCCUAAUAAAUGUUUGCUGAAUGAAUGCUGAAUAUCGAACUCAGCUCUGGAGGCCAGAAGCCUAAGAUCCAGGUGUCUGCAGGACCCUGUUCCCUCCUCUGCAGGCUCUGGGGGAGGCUCCUUCUUGCCUCUUCCAGUUCCCGGGGGAUCUGGGUGUCCCCUGGCUUGUGGCGGCACCACUGUAUUCUCUGUGAAUCCACGUGGCCUUCUCCUCUGUGUUUGUGACUUCUUUCCUUCUUAUAAGGACACCUGUCAUUGGAUUUAGGGCCCUAAUCCAAGAGGAUCUCAUCUCGAGAUCCUUAACUUAAUUACAUCUGCACAGAUGCUUUUUCCAAAUAAGGUUCCAUUCACUGAGUUCAGAGGGUUUGUUUGUUUGUUUGUUUGUUUGUUUUUGAGAUGGAGUCUCGCUCUGUCACUGCAUGGUAACCCCUCUGGUGCUGUCCUCAAUCUGCUGAGACCAGUACUGUCCAGCUCCUCUCUUUUCUUCCAAGCCAG